UAGCCUUGCGAAAUUUGCAAUUUUCAGUCAUUUUGUAUUACAAACGGGAAAUUGAUGCCCCAACACCCGAUUGCGCUGUCAAUUUCCCGUGCAUAAUACAAAAUGACUGAAAAACGGCAAACUUCGCAUGGCUAUGUUAUCCGCAUUUUACAACAUUUCGCAACGAAACUUUGGAAUAUUACUAAUUUUGUGAUGCUCUUUCAAGCUGUGAUGAAAUAUUUGUCUAGAUCGAAAUUUAGUCUAUAAUGCAAAUGGUCCAU